GGACAGUUCAGUAGCAUAUCAGGUUUAUAACUGCUAGGAACAAUUCAGCCAAACAAAGGCCUAAAAGUUUCUAUUUGCUACAUCUUUCUUAGGAGAAGCCAGAUGUCGAAAGUGGGGAGAGGAGGUAGGUGGUGGUGAGGGUGGAAACAACGAAGGAGAGCAGUGAAAAUUAGCGCCACUCUCCUGCCCUCGAUGAAGUAUCAGUACUAUAAAAGAGCUGCCUACAGAGUCCUUCAGCGCACACUGAGUGGGAAUAAACAACAAAUUUGAGCACCCAUUGCUUCAGAGAACAAUUCAACCCUAAUUGCAAACUCUUUUUUUUUUUCUCAUGGCCAAAGUCCUGUUUUAGAGCAAGAGCUUGUCUGCCUGAGCCAUAAUUACUGUUUGUGUUGGCAGGAAGUGGAGGGAGCCUCCAUGUACUGUUCACUGUGCAGAACUUUCUGACUCAGCACAGUACAAGGCAGACGGGCCUUGUAGUUUACACUAAUUUUACUGUUAAUUAAAAGUAAAGAGUUAGCAGAGCCAGAAGCCUUUGGUCUAGUGAAAUUCAAAAAAAGGGUGAAAGUGCAGAGUCAGGAAUAUCAGCUGCAUUCUAGGCCUAAUAACCAGAAAGUGGCAAGAAGUCCAAAUUGCCGACUUUCUAAAUAGCUACAAACCAAAAAUCAAAAAAGUAAAUGUAGGUUCAUUGAUCACUGCAGUGUAUGCAGUGAGUGAGCUUUGGACAGUCUUAAGUUCUCAUGGACUUCAUUGAUUGUGUUAAACAUCAUAAGUAGGCCUCAGUGCCUAAAAGCUCUCUCAUUGUUCUUUGACAUUCAUUAGACAUUCAAAACGUGUAAAAUGAGCGUGGGGUCCAUACUGUGGUGCGUACAGCAUCGAGGGGUAACUCAACACACUGACAGCUUUCUGAGCUUUCUUUGAUACAAUAUUUCUGACUGAUCAUUCAUUUUGUGGCAAAUUAAAUAUGCACUCAUCUCAUAUGUAAGUGGUAAAUUUCACAUACAUCAGUGAUUCAGCAUAAAUACAAAAGUAAAACAUAUGCAGCACCUACUGUAUAAUGUCUGAAGAGAUAGUAUGCAAUAGCAUUAUUAAACUAUGAUAAUAAUCUAAACCGAUUGCUACUAAUCCAGAGUUUAUCUGAUGACAUUCAAGCAUUUUCUUUUUUUUUUCUUUCUUUCUUUUUUUUUUUUUAAAAAAUAUACUUAUGUAACAGAUCAACAGCGAAACAUUUAAAAUGCACCAUAACUAGAUUUAAAACUGGAAGGAUUUGUGGAAUAUUAGGUUCUGCUUCUGAAAGCCUUGAAACAAUGCUAGAUAGUAAGAUAUACAUAGGUCAAAACUAUUUCUGUAGUAUUAUCAUGGAUUUUUGUAUGUUGUUUGACACAAACUAUAAAUGACUUAAAGUUGAUUUCCUUCUUGCAACAUGUGACAAAAGUAUCUUGACCCUUUGCUUUAAUCAGGACCUGUAGCUUUCAUUUUUCUAUCCAGUUUAAGUGACAGAUGGACAUAAUGGUGUUAAUGGACAGGUAUGAUACAAAUGGAUCAUUUGAUACUUGUAGAUGCCACUUUUUCCAUUUAAUCAAACUGCAUUUUCAAAUCCAUCCAUGCAUACAUUUUCUAUACCGCUUAUCCUACUGGGUCACAGGUAACCUGGAGCCUAUCCCAUGGAUCAUCAGGCACAAGGUGGGGUACACUCUGGACAGGGUGCCAAUCCAUUGCAGGGCACAAUCACACACCCAUUCAUACACUAUGGGCACUUUGGACAUGCCUAUUGGAUCAGCAUACCAUGCAUGUCUUUGGCCUUAAGUCAAGUAUUUUUAAGACUUUAAAGCAUCUGUAUGAACUAUGUAAGUUGUUUCCUACAAAAAAAUAUAUGAUGAAUAAAAAUUCUUAAUUUAACACUAAGCUGUUUGUUUCCCAGACUGUCCAUAAUCCUGGCCCCAGGAUUAGUUGGGAAGAUUGUGAAUGCCAUCACCAUAUCAGCAUGAAAAAUGAACCAAAGAAUGCUGUUGAAGUGGUAGCCUCUCUGGCAGAGGGUUUUUCAUAAUAAUCUUAUGUGGUACUGAGUGCUCAUUGUGCUAAAUUAAGGUUAAUGUUCACAUGUUAUGGGAUAUUCUCUAAAACAUUAAUGAGGUGAAAAAAGGUGUGGCUCCAAUUCACCAGCUCAUAAGACACCCCUGUGACUGGCUUUUUCCUAAGAAAACUACCCAGGAUCCCUUGCAAAGAAUUUUGCAAGGAGUCAGUUGCUCUGUUUUCAUUAGGAGAGAAACAAGAACUGAGCAAUGAAACAAGACCUGAGCAAUCUACUUCCCAGCUGCAACUGUAGGACCCUUGAGACAGCCAUGGCCCUGGUACUUUGACCCUCCAGACUGACAACAUGGGCUGCAUAAACGUAGGUCAUGGUCUCAGGUCAAACUUCCUGUCCAGUCAGGCACCCUACCUUCUUUAGAUAUAUGCUUUGCUUCCCACAGAAACCAAGCAGCAGAGUUUUUCAUAUAAUAAUUUACUUUUUCCAAGUCUGUUUGGUCAGAAAUAGAAAAUGUGCUGAGCCACUAGCAAACAUGGAUAUUUAAGGAAUAUUAGGUAGUUAAAAUAAAAACGGUUUCUGAACAUUUUGCAUGUAUUUAUAUUGGCUCAAAUUUACCCAUGAAGUCAAUGAAGUAUUUAGGUGAAAGGCAGUCAGAAAAUAUGUGUAUUCACACACUAAUCUUUGAUGUUACAUAAAAAACAAACCCUGGAAAGCAGUAAAACUGUAAAAUAAUAUUUACUGUGAUAUAUUUUGCAACUACUAUUAUUAUUAUUAUUAUUAUCAUUAUUAUUAUUAUUAUUAUAAAUAGCCAUUAAAUAGUCAUCAAUAAUAAACAGUCAUAUUACUCAUCAGAAUUAGGGUAGGACAUAUCUACUUCUCUCACAUUUUCAGGUUAUACAAUCACUUAUAAUCUCAACACAUUAUUGUAGUAUUUAACAAUAUAAACUCUGUCAGAAAUAAGCUUAAACAGAGGAAUUUCACUCAGCUAGAACUGCCCACUUCAUAUUAAGAUUUUUCUCAAAUUUUAAUAUAUACCGUGGCCAAGUUGCUUUUAGUUGCCUUGCCAGAGAUAGAUUACUUUUUUCAUCCAGGCGUAGAAGUCGUGCCAAGAAGGGUACAAAGAGCAUGCCGUGACUUUACAAUGAACAAAAGCACAAGUGACUCCGAGUUGACAGGGUUACCAAAAUUCAUUUCUAACUCAGCUGGUGGUAGGGAACUACUGAAACUUCGUAAUGAAAUGCUGUGAUAAAAAUCUUUACUUUCCCCUACCUUUUUGAGAGGGGGUGGGGAAGAGGACAAAUGGCAGGCAAGUUAUUUUCCACACUCAUGGGGUGUGCGUGAUAAAUCAACUCAAUUGCUGAUUCACUCCCAGGAAUUCCUGUCUCCUUCUGCUGCCUCUGUGUUGUCAAGGAUGCUAAACAUCUUGGCAUGACGCUCUAACCUACUACAUGUGCUAGUAUUUUGAUAUGUUUAGAAACUUAAAAAUUGUUCAAGUGCUAUACAGUUUUAACAGAAUGUGGGAG
ensembl:lncRNA